rnacentral:lncRNA from 1 species
UAAAUAAAAGCAACUGACAUGUUGAGACUGCAAUACUAAUAUAGAAGAACAGAGGAAAGUGAAACGAUCUCACCAACUACCAGCUCGAAGCACCCACCUAUACUAAUAUCGCGCCUGUCUCCAAACUGUACACGAUCGUCAACCGGACCUACGAAGGUCCACCGGGUCAAUAUCCAACCCACAAAUCCAAAAUACCCAACUCACGAACCCCACACAAAAUUCUCGAAAUCGGUUUCCUAAAAUCGAUCACCAUAACUCGCCGGAAGUCCCGAAAAAUUACACCGG